UAUUUACUUCUUGUCUUAUCAAUUUCCUUUUUGGCAGAGCUCUUUUCUCCUAUUCACUCCAAAUUUACUCCAAAUUGUAUCUAAAUUGCCACACCUUUAUCUUCUCUUCCCCCAUAUUUCUUGAAACCCUAAUUUGUUCUGCCAAAAGUGUGCUCUUCUUCUGCAAACAUGAACGAUUUCACACUCUACCCUUUGUCUUUUCUUCCUUCACACACAAUCAUACCAUCUCUCUCAACACGUUUUAUAUUUCUCAUCUCUCUCUACAAUUGCUUAUCUUUUCCAACCAACAACAAAUACAUCUUCCAAUAAUCUCCAGCUUUGAAGUUCACUUUGGCAAGAUCUUUUGAAAAAUUGAAGGACAUCAAUGAAAGUAAGGAACUCUGGAAAGUUGUCGUCAGAAUCCAUCACAAAUGUACAGUUUUAUCAAAGACCAAAGAGCACUUCAAAUUGUUUCUGAUUGAUAAAGAGAGGUAUUAUGAUGAUUUUAUGGUUAUUCUGGAGCUAUACUUUUGAAGCAACAUCUAACUGCAUUUGUUGAGAUAGUAACUCCAUCUCUGAAGUAGUAUAUAUUAAGGUGUCAAUGUUGGAAAUAUACAAUGAAACGGUUCGAGAUUUGUUGUCUACAACAAAUAAAUUUGCAGCAGACGCAACUUGAGGAGAAAAGAGAAAGUGGAGGUGAUUAACAUGGAGAAAGUUAUAGAAGAACUUGAAUUCAUGGCUAAGGAAGCAGAGAAGGUUCAGAGGGAAACACUGAGAAGAAUUUUGGAGGAUAAUUCAUCAGAUGGAUAUUUGCAGAAUUUGG